rnacentral:lncRNA from 1 species
UGGCUCAUCAGGUCAAAAAUAUGACAUAAGGAAAUUUUAUGCAUACAUUAAAUUUUCUGAUCUUCAACUUGCUCAUGUUAACCAAAAGGCUCUUGGAUGCCAUCAAGGAUACAGGAAGAUCUUCCACUAAUUUCACCAUCUUGAAAUCAAUUGAGUGAAGCAAAAUAUGCAAUGCUUAAGAGGAUAAGGAUUUGAGUGUGGUAUGGGGAAUUAGCAAGUUGGUAGACAGAAAGGAAUACAUAGUCAGGAAGAUCAAAAGACAGAUGACUAAGAGGGACAUGAUUGCUGAAAAGUGAAUAAAGGGGCUUCACAGAAGAAAUCAAUUCACUAACGAACAGGAGGCUGAUUCAAAGGAAAAGUGUGAUGCAACCAGUCAAUAUCCACAUAUCAACUACAAUGAUAAUAAAUGAUAAUGAAAGCAUCAAGUAGAAUAGUAUUAAGAGAUUUGCAUAUUUAACUUAAACCCAUCUAAGAAAAAUUUCUAUUAUAACUCCAUAAUUGCAUGCUCAGUCUGACAUGAUAAAACCUACAAUGUAAGCCAAAAUACAGUAAAAUCUUUAAACAAACUGUAAUAGCCAUUGAAAAACUUUACCUAUUAUUGAUCAAGAAUUCAAUAUAUACAAGAUCUAUCUUAUUAGUCCAAACAAUUUAUAUGUCAGCCAGCAAAACCUCUAAACAUGAUCAACUAUUAUAUAAACAGAUUGAUUCCUUUAAAAAAAUUAUCAUUCUGGACUUUGAUAAUGCUUUUACCUUUUUCUCCAGUUUCUUUUCAAUAAACAAUACUAGUUGCUUCAUUUUCUCCAAGAACUGCACAUUUUCAUGCCUGCACAUAUGAGAUUAAUAUAUUUAGUCCAAGAAUGCUUAAAAACAAACAGUUGAUGUUCUACCCCGAGCACAUUUCCUCAAUAGCUUCUACUUUUAAUUUGUUUUCAUGCAGGUUACCUAAGGGAUUCAUAUAAUUAUCAUGUUCCAAAGUCCAAACUAAUGUGAAAGGUGGCAUACAUGUAUAUUUCUGCUAAAGUGUGUAUGGCCAUGAACCUCUGUCCACUAAUAAACAUGGAUAUGUGAUGCCAUAUAGAUUCAAAGGAAGCAACCUGACAAUGAUCUUCGGUGCCCAUACUUAUCCAUUUUUUCUUUUCUUUUUUUUCUUGACUUUUUGAGCCACUCCAUUCUUAAAAGUAAACAUUCUUCUUCAUCAUCAUUUUCCUAUGUCAUUUUAGCUAUGAACAUAUAAUUCACAUUGUACAAUAGCAAUCUGAAUCAUUGAUCUUUUUUCUUUUUAUGCACAUUUCUCCACUUACCUACCUCCCCAUUCCAUCCAGUACAGGCCGUACCAUCCAAUAUGGGGCAUAGUACCGUAUCAGGAGGGCAUUGAUAAGAAACUUAAGUUCGGGUCAAUACAGAUCCCAUAAUGCCCCAUACUGAGGUAUACUGCCCCAUAUUGAGACAUACCAAGGUGUGUAUCAAGACAUAUCAAGAUGUGCACUGAGACGUACUAACCUAUACCGAGGUGUACCGAGAUUAAAAACAAAAGAGAAAAAUGAUUGAAAGGCUAUUUCAAUACAGGAUGCAUACCGCUCCGUACCAUACGAAAACCAAUAAGGUACCAAUCUGGUGCUCAGUACCACAUUGCGGACGUUGUUAAAUAACUCAGUUGCUACUUGUUCUACUGUAAACCUUAUCUUUGAUGGGAGAAAUGUACAGGUUUCUAUUGGUUUGCACUAGAGAUAUAGUAGAUGUUGCAAAAAGCACUGUUUCAUUUCUUACAAAAAGAAUAAGUUACCACAAACUUUUGCAAUGUCACUUGGAUAUUCACAUCCAGCUCCAAAAAUUUGUAUCAAAUACGCAUCAGAUACUUGGAUACUUUUGAAAUUCUUUGAUAGCCACUUGAAAAUGGGAAAAGAGUUGAACUCUUCCAACAAUGAGUUUGAUCCUCUAGUUUGAUAUUAGGAGUUAGUAGUUGCUCUUUUUUGAGAUUUGUUAAGGAUGUAGGCAAGGUUUGCCAUCUCAAUACUAGACCUCAUAAUGGUACCAUUCUAAUAUAGGGUCAGUACACAGUACGGCAGAUAGUAAGCCAUACCAAAUGUCAGUGCAAUUCGAGAUUGCAUACCAGUUCAGUACCGGUAUGGUACGAUACACCCAUAAUGGUACAGUAUCGCCUGGUACGGCAAACAUUGGAUGCACGUAUUGCAGUAACUUUGCAAACUAUUAUUUCACUAAUAUCCUUAAGUUAAUUAGGAAGUUUGAAGAGGAAACAUGUAUAUUGAAAGAUCUUAACAAACAAAAGCUUUGUAACAUUUAACUGUUACUGUUUAAACAGAUACUAUUUAAAGGUACAAAUACACAAUUUAGUUAAACAUCCUUCAAAUCCUCGUAUCUCUCUGUUUCUCUCUUACCAAGUCAGACACUUGGAUAUGUGUCCAAAUCCAAGAAUCUGUUUCCUUGCAAAAUGAUACCUUUGUCUUUUGGGUUCAUGCAAAUGUUAUUGGUUCAAAGGCUAUAGCAUAACUCAUGGUGUGUGAUGUGCAGUAUUACCAAGAGUUUCCCAUCUGACACAAAGGAAUGCAUACAUAUCGGUGAAACGGAUAUCCAUCAAACAUUUGGAGGCUUAUCAAAUAAUUAACAAGUUCAGAAAUCAAAAAGAAACUAGAAGUACAAUUCUACUGGCUUGAAGAUUGACAAAGGACAAAGGCAUAUAAAUCAGAUAUCCUUGAACUAAUUUUGGAGUUUGAAUGGGAGAGACGUAUUUUAAUUAUGAUACUAUAGCUAAGGCAGAUAACAAUAAUGAAGUUUUAGCUUUUAAAAGACAGCAUGCUACCAGCCUUUUUCAACAAUUCUUAACAUAAUACACUUUAGUUGUUAUUCAAUAUGACCAUGAAUAACAUCAUUGAAUGAUUUAUAUUUGUGAGAUGUGACUACAUUCAAAAAUUUAUGUAAGCCUCAUCAAGUUGAUGGCAAUAAGCCUUUCAACUUGAAUGCCAAAAAAGUUGAUCAUUGAAAUUUUUGAUAUCAAGAGUGACAUCGAACACCAAAGCUUGCCAUGUAGCAUUAAAUAAGCUUUGAUCCAUUUCUUUCUGUAAUAGGUGAAACAUCUGAAGGAAUAGUAUCUUAUCAUAUUCUAUAUUCUGCAGGAUUAUCAUAUUUAUAUAGACACAACUUAGUCAAUUGCUUUCCUGUCUCUCCUCUCUCUUUUCGAGUUUGACAUUUGGUGCAAAUCCAACUUUGAUUUGCACAAAUGUGCCCGUGCAAUGCCCAGCAACAUGUGUAUAUAGGGUUUACCAUACCUAGGCACCAGACACACCUUACUACAGUAUAGCACAAGGGCUCAAUUCAGGACUUUGCACUGACACAUGGAGUCUCACCUCUAGCACCAUACCAUGUAUCAAUACGGUGACAUACCAUACCAGCUAGCUACUAGUAAUGGUGCUUGGUACUGGUAAAACAAACCUCGAUGUACAUGGAAAUUUAGGGGAAGCUUUAUCAAUUGACUGGUCGAUGGCUGAUUGUGCUUAAAAACAGUCUAUAUUUGAAAUCUGUAAAUUCUAAUUAGUGAAAUCACAACAUCCCUUAUCAGGAAUUUCUUGACCAUUGCUAUUUUUCGUAGUAUUUUCGUAGUAUUUUCGGUAGAAUAAGCUGAUAGUAACUUGAUUGCUACUGUUGGAAUCUUAGGGCAUUGUUAGCAUUCCUUUGUUUUAGAAGAAAGAAGCUACAAGCUAGGCUUUCUAACUCCUCCAAAAAGCACAUUUUUUAUCUUUUUUUCCUUGUACAAGCACUUUUUAGUAGAUGUUACCAAACAUUUAUUUUUUGAGGGGAAGUACUUUUUUAAGAAAAUAAGCCAUAAAAAUACUUUUUCUCAAGCACCCCAGAAGAAUGGUCUUAUGGCACCACAAAGAUGAAGUCUGCUAAUUAUUACAUGGCUCAAAUGUUUCCUUCAAAAGUUCUAUACGCGGCCACAUAUGCAUAGCUCCUAGAGGAGCAGCUUUGAUAUGCAACGGUGCUGGCAAGCACCCAAGCAUCUGCAAAGCCUUGUAGUCCAACAUAUAUACCAUGUGGAAAAAGUCAAGGGCUAUGUUGUACGCUAGCUUCUCCUCCCUCUAGCUCCACUUCUCCUCUAUGUUCCGUCCUCAUUCUCCUUUUGGCUCAUCAUCCUUGUCCUCCUCUUAAUCCUUCUCCACUCUCUCCCAAUUGUUCUUCCUUCCCCCUCCUAGCCCAGCAUCCAUCACCUCUUUCUCCUCUCCUUUCUUCCACCUAGGUUCUUGAUUAGGUGCCCAUAUAUCGCAUAGGGAUUAGGGACUAUGUUGAGCCCAACCACCACCAUACUAUGGCCACUUUAUAUGCCCUUGAACUCAUGAGUCAUGAAUAAGUGAGUCCUUAUGUAAGGAAUAAGUUAGAUGUUCUAAAAGACUAUGAAAGAUAUCUCAAUAUCUUCAAAGGACAAUCAAGCAAUGUAACAAAGACUCAAGGGGUCAACCAGAUGUG